rnacentral:rRNA from 1 species
CCUACGGGCGACUGCAGUGAGGAAUAUUGGUCAAUGGGCGGAAGCCUGAACCAGCCAAGUAGCGUGCAGGAUGACGGCCCUACGGGUUGUAAACUGCUUUUAUACGGGAAUAACGCGCCUUACGUGUAGGGCUUUGCAUGUACCGUAUGAAUAAGGACCGGCUAAUUCCGUGCCAGCAGCCGCGGUAAUACGGAGGAUGCGAGCGUUAUCCGGAUUUAUUGGGUUUAAAGGGUGCGUAGGCGGACGGUCAAGUCAGCGGUAAAAAUGCGGUGCUCAACGCCGUACAGCCGUUGAAACUGGCAGUCGUGAGGGGGCGAGAAGUAUGCGGAAUGCGUGGUGUAGCGGUGAAAUGCAUAGAUAUCACGCAGAACUCCGAUUGCGAAGGCAGCAUACCGGCGCCCUACUGACGCUGAGGCACGAAAGCGUGGGUAUCGAACAGGAUUAGAUACCCGGGUAGUC